AUGUUGAAUCAUGCCACGAUCUAUAACCAUGGUGAUGCUAUUUCAACAAACUUCUUCUUCAUUCACUGUAGGCUUGCGUUGCACUGCGAUCCUUCCAAAUUGCGGGCUAUUUUUGCAAGAAUAGUUUUCUCAGUUUCAUGCUCUUAUGUGUUAUUCUCGCUUUAUCUCUCAUUAUUGUCACCUCCACAAUGUUCAAACAUUAUGAAGUUGUCGAGUUAG